rnacentral:misc_RNA from 1 species
CUGGGAUCCGACCUACGAGAUCGAGGGGGAUGAUGUCUUCAGCGCCAUCUUCUAUGGCCUGGGCGCCGACGGAACCGUCGGAGCGAACAAGAAUACCAUUGAGAUCCUGGCGGAAGAUCCUGCCAUUCACGCCCAGGGCUACUUCGUAUACGACUCCAAAAAGUCCGGAUCGCGCACGGUCUCUCACAUCCGGUUCGGCCCCUCUCCCAUCCGCG